GGUCUUGACAUCCCGGACGACCCUUAGGAAACUAGGGGGUGCUUCCAUCUGGAAGAAUCUGGAGGACAGGUGCUGCAUGGCUGUCGUCAGCUCGUGUCGUGAGAUGUUGGGUUAAGUCCCGCAACGAGCGCAACCCUUGCCUUUAGUUGCCAGCAGUUCGGCUGGGCACUCUAAAGGGACUGCCGGUGUUAAACCGGAGGAAGGUGGGGAUGACGUCAAGUCCUCAUGGCCUUUAUGACCAGGGCUACACACGUACUACAAUGGCCGAUACAAAGGGCAGCGACACUGCGAGGUGAAGCCAAUCCCGUAAAAUCGGUCUCAGUCCGGAUUGGAGUCUGCAACUCGACUCCAUGAAGUUGGAAUCGCUAGUAAUCGUGGAUCAGCAUGCCACGGUGAAUACGUUCCCGGGCCUU
rnacentral:rRNA from 1 species